AUGAACGCUGGCGGCGUGCCUAAUACAUGCCCGUCGAGCGAACAGACGAGGAGCUUGCUCCUCUGACGUUAGCGGCGGACGGGUGAGUAACACGUGGAUAACCUACCUAUAAGACUGGGAUAACUUCGGGAAACCGGAGCUAAUACCGGAUAAUAUAUUGAACCGCAUGGUUCAAUAGUGAAAGACGGUUUUGCUGUCACUUAUAGAUGGAUCCGCGCCGCAUUAGCUAGUUGGUAAGGUAACGGCUUACCAAGGCAACGAUGCGUAGCCGACCUGAGAGGCGGAUCGGCCACCCUGGAACUGAGACACGGUCCAUACUCCUAAGGGAGGCAGCAGUAGGGAAUCUUCCGCAAUGGGCGAAAGCCUGACGGAGCAACGCCGCGUGAGUGAUGAAGGUCUUCGGAUCGUAAAACUCUGUUAUUAGGGAAGAACAAAUGUGUAAGUAACUAUGCACGUCUUGACGGUACCUAAUCAGAAAGCCACGGCUAACUACGUG
rnacentral:rRNA from 1 species